GACAGAGGUGCCAAGCGUUAGGCGGAAUCACUGGGCUUAAAGCGUGUGUAGGCGGAAUUGUAAGUACCUUGUGAAAUCCCACGGCUCAACCGUGGAACUGCUCGGUAUACUGCUUUUCUUGAGCCACUUAGGGGCUGUCGGAACAAACGGUGGAGCGGUGAAAUGCGUAGAUAUCGUUUGGAACGCCAAAGGUGAAAACAGACAGCUGGGAGUGUGCUGACGCUGAGACACGAAAGCCAGGGGAGCGAACGGGAUUAGAUACCCCGGUAGUCCUGGCCCUAAACGAUGUCGACUAGAUCGUGGCGGCUCUGACGCCGUCACGGUCGAAGCAAAAGUGCUAAGUCGACCGCCUGGGAAGUACGGUCGCAAGGCUAAA
rnacentral:rRNA from 1 species